CCCGCUGCGGCCUGCGGGCACGGCCUGCCGCCGGUCAGGCCCCGGCACCGGGCACCGGGCCUCGGGCGUCCCCCGGGCGUCCCUCGGGUCCCCUCUGGCACCAGGCGUGGGAGCUGCUUGUGCCACAGCAAGCUGAGCUGGCUUGAAGACUGGGGAGCUGCCUCUCCAGAAGGAUGAUGGACUUUGCAGCUGAAGUUCUUACCGAGCUAACAGAGGAGAUUUGUAACAUGCAGACUAAGCAGAGCUGCAGAGGCAUUGCCACUCCUCUCCCUUCCAUCUCUCUUGGACUCUGGAAGCCCAGUUCCCCUCACUGUAUGCCGCAGUAACUCCACCGGCAUCACUGGUGUCGCACGGUGGAAGCUGCACUGAAGCGCGUGGAAGGCGAACCAGCGUUUGACCAUCUUACCUAGCCGCAGCGGGCAUUGGGAACACGACUUGGCCCUGCUCAUCAUGAGCAUCGGAGCAGCACAGGCUUUCACUCCUCCACUUGGGCAAGAGUUUCUGAUAGAAGGACGCAUGAGAGACACAUUCCAGAAGCAUAUAUUAAUGAAUGUUUAAAAAAAGGUAUUUUCUUUUAAAAAGCUUAACUUCAUGUGAUGUCACUGAAAGGAAAUGUGUUUUUUCCCCUUAAACCUUUGUUUAGUUUAUUUAGUUUAUUUACUGUAUAAUUGAAUUUGUGACAACAGUAUCCAUUUAGCAAAAUUUUUUCUUCUAAAAUAACUCCAUUUCACUUGCCCGUCUUGUGACUUAAUUUCUAAGAAAUAUUACCAGAAAUCUGCAAUAGCACCAGUAAUAUAAAAAUAUUGCCACAAUACUAUUGGAAGCCUUAACACUCGUUAAACACAGGCCUCAACGCUUGUGAAUAAUAGAUUCUUUAUGGGGCUGAAGCAUGCCCGUGGCAGCUCCACCGCGAGCAUCCUCGAGGCUCAGGGAAAAAGCUUUUGCAAAAUACCUGACGAGAAGAUACCUCCAUCCCACCUGCUCAGAGGGCCAAAUGAUUUCGCUCUCUUUAUAGGCACAUAAUUUAUCCAAAGAGCACCGAAGAGUUAACAGAUCUUGUAGUUAAGUGCUUAAUUAGCAACUAAAGAGUAAAGUCAGAAAAAUGCAGUUCAUUAUUUGUCAUGGAUACAGAGUACAUUUCACUUCACUAUGUAGAGUAAUACAUUUAUAUUAAGACUUUACGCUUUCAAGGUUCACAGGUCAAGAUUAAUCAGUUGUGACCUUGGAACACAGCUCUUCUCGUCAUGAAGUAAAAGCUGAGUAAGGGAAUCUGAAACAAGAGUCCGUACGUUUAUAUAUAGCUUGAUCUGAUUGAAUGGUUAAAAUGUAAUUGAAUGGCAAAAUAACAUUCCUUUUCCGAGGAAGAAUUAAAGACCUUUGGAAAAAGAGAGGUGAAAUACAAGUGAUUUUUCAGUGCAAGUGACAUUAUGAAUUAAUCUCGAACAUGACUGAGGUGGAUGGUUAUAGUGUUCCUUUCCUACUACUAUUCUUUCGCCAGAGCAGUUCUUUCUGCUUAAAAUAUUUAGCAGAGAAAGAUACAAAUACCAACGUUUAAAAAUGCCAGGUGCUUUGGUAACAAAGCUAUUUGCUGCCAAACAGAAAUCAUGUUUGUUUCUACAUGACAUCUUUAUUUACAGAAACUUUAAUUUUUUGUCUACUCUAUAUGUUUUGUUGUAGCAAAACAGACUAUGACUUGAUGAUGGGCUGUUGCAGUCACUCCAGCAACGGUAAUCAACAAGAAAAGAUGCUUAAAAAGUACAGACCUUGUUCUCUGGGUCUGCAGGAGAGCAAGGCUCCCGUCUCAGCUUCGUGGCCCUGAGUUUACAGAUCUCUGGGUAUGGUAAAGCUGAAAAGGAACAGCUUUGAUUUAUAUCCUGGCGGUGACUUUCAGUGAUCUUUGAUGUAAAUAAACUCUCCUCUUUCAUGCUCCCCCCUUUUUUUAUACCCACCGGAGCAUCUCAGACCUCUACCCUACUGCGUCCGUACAGUUCCCCUUCACGAGGGGAAUUCCUCACUCGCUGCUUCUGGCUGGUUUAAGGUUAUUUUGUGCUAUUUGUCUGGCCUGGCACUCCAGACAUUCCUGACCUGAUACUUUAGAUUAUUUUUAUUUGUGACUCCGGAAACAAAAGGCCUUUACAGUUCCAUGCACAAUACUGGCAUGAAAGCGUGCGUUCUGCUUGUGGUCUGGCUGCAGUGACGCUAUUCAGAUUGUUGUACUCUGCUCUUGUUACAACCAUUUUAAAUUUGUCCACUCUACAGUUUAGCAAAUCUUCACCUAUUUCCACAGCUAUAGAAGCAAUUCCAAAAAAAUAGUAUUUUUGCUUAGUUAUGUAGUUUUCUCUGCCCUGCUCUAUUCUACACAUUAUCCAUUAAAGUUUACACAUGCCUGCAUAGAAAAUGCAUGUCUGUUACCAUAAAGAGUAACUAUUUUGAGCCACAACCUUUCUUCCUAAUACCUUCUGGGUUUAUGGCUUCUCUGCCAAGACUAAUCAAUAUG